UUUCCGUAGGUGAACCUGCGGAAGGAUCAUUACAGAGUUCAUGCCCUCACGGGUAGAUCUCCCACCCUUGAAUAUUUAUACCUUAGUUGCUUUGGCAGGACGUGGAAACACCAUGGGCUCCGGCUUAUGCGUGCCUGCCAGAGGAAACACACUCUGUUUUUAGUGAUGUCUGAGUACUAUAUAAUAGUUAAAACUUUCAACAACGGAUCUCUUGGUUCUG
rnacentral:misc_RNA from 1 species